AAGGCUUUAGCUUAAUUAAAGUGUUUGGGUUGCAUUCAAAAGAUGUAAGAUAGGGUCUUGCAAGUCUUA
rnacentral:tRNA from 2 species